AUCAGCAUUGGUCAGAAUUGUGCCGGAAGUGUGACGUCAAAUGGUGUUAGAAGCGAAGCUGAGUGGUCAUUUUUAACCAUGGACCUAACUAGAUAGGUCCAUGUUUUAUCCUGGAGGGGAACGGCAGAGAAGACGUGUAGUCGGAGGAAAAAAAAAUUUCUAAACAACAUGAGUCUCAGGAACUGUUGUGUGCCUCUUUGCCCCAGUGUAGGCCCACUUUCCCAAGAUGGAACAUACAUGUAGCUGUCCUACCAUACAUUUCCAGUAGAUGAAAAACUGAAAAAGCAGUGGACGUAGGGAUGUCAUUUCAGAAAUCCGCUACCAACUGACUGAUCUCUACGUUUAUUUCUCUGGCUGAGAGAUCUGUAGUCUCCGAAGACAUCAAGGACAAUCCAGCUGGUUUGUAUUGUCAUCGGAGAAUGUCGCACCGACUGUCCAAACUUUCUUUAAUGACAUUGCAAACUAUUCAUUAUACAUACUACACAAAAUGUGAAGCAUCCAUCAUGUGUGUCAUUAGUGAAUUAAAUUAGCAAUAGGUGAAAUAAAAAAAGUUACUAAAAUAGGUAGAAAUGUAUGUGAUGUUGUAAGCCAAAGUGAGCCUUUUCAUUAAAACGGAUGUUGGAAGAUGAGGGGAUUACAUCGUAUACACUUGAAUGAAAAAGGCAUAAAUGAGCGUUAUAUCCUUUGUUGCAAAUUUUUAAUUUUACUGGAAAAGUCCGCACCUUUCGUUUUUACACAAGUACAUGUAGACCACACCAAAAACCGGUAACAGAAUUGCGAUUACUGAACCCGUUUUCGAGAUCUUAAGCUUAGUUUCUACUUAAUACUUUAACCUGCACUUUUACUACACGCAAUGGAGAUAAAGAUGGUUGAAUUUCAGUCGUGACCUUAAA